rnacentral:misc_RNA from 1 species
GAUGAAGAACGCAGCGAAAUGCGAUAAGUAGUGUGAAUUGCAGAAUUCAGUGAAUCAUCGAAUCUUUGAACGCACAUUGCGCCCCUUGGUAUUCCAUGGGGCAUGCCUGUUCGAGCGUCAUUUGUACCUUCAAGCUUUGCUUGGUGUUGGGUGUUUGUCUCGCCUUUGCGUGUAGACUCGCCUUAAAAUAAUUGGCAGCCGGCGUAUUGAUUUCGGAGCGCAGUACAUCUCGCGCUUUGCACUCAUAACGACAGCGUCCAAAAGUACAGUUUACACUCUUGACCUCGGAUCAGGUAGGGAUACCCGCUGAACUUAAGCAUAUCAAUAAGCGGAGGA